rfam:Schistosoma rodhaini strain Burundi genome assembly, scaffold: SROB_scaffold0016123
AGUCAGCUGACGAGUCCCAAAUAGGACGAAACGCGCGUCCUGGAU